rnacentral:rRNA from 1 species
UCAGAUUGAACGCUGGCGGCAUGCCUUACACAUGCAAGUCGAACGGCAGCGCGGGAGCAAUCCUGGCGGCGAGUGGCGAACGGGUGAGUAAUACAUCGGAACGUGCCCAAUCGUGGGGGAUAACGCAGCGAAAGCUGUGCUAAUACCGCAUACGAUCUACGGAUGAAAGCAGGGGACCGCAAGGCCUUGCGCGAAUGGAGCGGCCGAUGGCAGAUUAGGUAGUUGGUGAGGUAAAGGCUCACCAAGCCUUCGAUCUGUAGCUGGUCUGAGAGGACGACCAGCCACACUGGGACUGAGACACGGCCCAGACUCCUACGGGAGGCAGCAGUGGGGAAUUUUGGACAAUGGGCGCAAGCCUGAUCCAGCCAUGCCGCGUGCAGGAUGAAGGCCUUCGGGUUGUAAACUGCUUUUGUACGGAACGAAACGGCUCUUGCCAGCGUUCAAUCUGA